UACGAAGGGGGCUAGCGUUGUUCGGAUUUACUGGGCGUAAAGCGCACGUAGGCGGCCAACUAAGUCAGACGUGAAAUCCCCAGGCUCAACCUGGGAACUGCGUCUGAUACUGGAUGGCUUGAAUCCGGGAGAGGGAUGCAGAAUUCCAGGUGUGGCGGUGAAAUGCGUAGAUAUCUGGAGGAAUACCGGUGGCGAAGGCGGCAUCCUGGACCGGCAUUGACGCUGAGGAGCGAAAGCUAGGGGAGCAAACGGG
rnacentral:rRNA from 1 species